GCCCGUUUGGCUUAGUGGUACAGCGUCUCACUCGUAUUUCGUAUGCGUCAUGAGAAGAUCCUCGGUUCGAUUCCGAGAAUGGGCA